GACGAACGCUGGCGGCGUGCCUAACACAUGCAAGUCGAACGGAAAGGCCCUGCUUUUGUGGGGUGCUCGAGUGGCGAACGGGUGAGUAACACGUGAGUAACCUGUCCUUGACUUUGGGAUAACUUCAGGAAACUGGGGCUAAUACCGGAUAGGAGCUCCUGCUGCAUGGUGGGGGUUGGAAAGUUUCGGCGGUUGGGGUUGGACUCGCGGCUUAUCGGCUUGUUGGUGGGGUAGUGGCUUACCAAGGCUUUGACGGGUAGCCGGCCUGAGAGGGUGACCGGCCACGCUGCGCCUGGGCUACGGCACAGACUCCUACGGUAGGCAGCAGUGGAGAAUAUUGCACAAUGGGCGGGAGCCAGAUGCAGCAACGCCGCGUGCGGGAUGACGGGCUUCGGGUUGUAAACCGCUUUCGCCUUUGCCGAGACGUGAGUGACGGUAAUGGGUAAAGAAGCACCGGCUAACUACGUG
rnacentral:rRNA from 1 species